GAUGAAGAACGUAGCGAAAUGCGAUAAGUAAUGUGAAUUGCAGAAUUCAGUGAAUCAUCGAAUCUUUGAACGCACAUUGCGCCCGCUAGUAUUCUGGCGGGCAUGCCUGUUCGAGCGUCAUUUCAACCAUCAAGCCCUUUAGCUUGUGUUGGGGACCUGCGGCUGCCGCAGCCCCCGAAAUGCAGUGGCGGGCUCGUUGUCACACCGAGUGCAGUAAUCAUUCUUCUCUCCGGGCGUGGCGGCGGGUUCCGGCCGUAAAAUCACCAAUUUAUCAAGGUUGACCUCGGAUAAGGUAGGAAUACACGCUGAACUUAAGCAUAUCAAUAAGCGGAGGA
rnacentral:misc_RNA from 1 species